AAAGCCACGUGUAAGUGGACCCGUGUAGUUCAAACACGUAUUUUUUCCAAGGGUUAACUGUAGUCGCGUUAUUUUAGAACUCCUUGAUUUAUUUUUUCUGCAGGCAGCAGUGAGCCAUGGAAGGUCUCUGAGCAGAGAAGCACUUAUUGGGGGCUGCCGGGACUGUGGUUCAGGAGAUGAAUCUGGCAAUAUCACGGGCACGAUGGUCAGAGGCGGACUGGUCAGUGAGGGAGGAGGGGAGUGUGGAGACAGGGUUGUCAUGGAAGCCACGCGAGGAGAGAGUUUAUUGGAGGAGGAGGAGGUGGCCAGUAGUGUCUGAUGUUGCAGAAAGCAGGUAGGGAUCAGAAGGGGGUCUUUGGAAACGGGGGGCAGAACACCAGUGGCCCGUUGGAGUCAUGGUGAUGGCAGAGUCGGGGCAGAAGCAAAUGGAAGGUGAGCCAGCAGAAGCAGCAGGCGUCCACCCCGCUCCUGAGAAGCUUGGUGGUGGUCGGAAUGAGCGAAAUGGCUCAGAAGCUUGGAGAGACUUGGCGCGACAGAGACCAGGGGGCUUAUGUUCCCCUCUUUGCUGGGAAAUCAGAAGCUACCCUGAGCCACUCGCAGGCAGUGAGGAAAGAGCUAGUGAACAGUGAGAUCUGGGAAACAGGUGUAAGGUGUGAAAAAGGGUGCACUUCAUGGAGUGGGCCCUGGACGAGGCACGGGUGGUGGCACCUGGGUGGAGGGGGGAUCAGCCUUAGAAAAGAAGGGACUUCUCUUCUCCUGAGCCCGGAGGGAAUGUGAAGAGGGCAGUGAAGACGGAAGUUUUGGGGUGGCGAUCGGGGAAGUGAAUGAUAAGGCCGCUGCAGUGGGGUAGGAGAUGGAGCUCCCUGCCCAGAGACGAGAGAGGUGGCUUCAGACCUCACAAAGGAGAAGGGCCAGAGGAGGGGGAAGGGAGGUGUGGUUAGCGAUCUUCCAAAACCCGAAGGGAAAAGGAACAAGCGUGGUCUGCGUGCCUUCGUAGAGAAGGAUCAGGACCAGUGGGCAUAUGUGGGGGGGAAGUAGAUUUUGGUUUCGUCUGGGAAGACUGUUUAGGGAACUGAAAAUGGAAUAAAUUCCCUGUCUCUUUUCCCCCUCAGGCCUCAGGUCCCCCUUGCUGUAUGCGGGAUCCUUGCCCCGGGGUGGAGAGUGGCCCAUAUGAAUUCCAUGUUCUCUCCUGGCUCUGAGACUGAUGGCCGCAGGAAUAACACUCAAAGGACGGGCAUGUGAAUUCACCUGUCUCACCAACCCCGUGUCUGGGGCCAGUGAUCACACAGAGAUCAGCUCCGAGGAAGAGAUCAUUGCAGAGCCUCCCUAUUGCCACGGCUGCCAUUGCUCUUGGGGACGACGGAUCAGCUGAACACAGCUCUGCCCCAGGUACAGUGACGACCAGGUCAGAGCAGUACCAAGAUGGCUGACAGACAGCCAGCCUCUGCCUUGUGGGUCAUGCUGUCCCAGGGAUCUCCACGCCUUUGGGAGCGAGAGCUCUGAGCGAUGAUAGAAGGCCCCAGUUUCACCUCGAACCACCUAAUUCUCCAGAAGGAAAGGGCCCAGAAGGCAAAUUGGUCUACACCCUGGCUCUGGUUAGAAGGCCCUCAGUGCAUUCCUGUGAAUCACCAUGUCCAAAGUCCUAGGGGAUUCUAUUUAUUUUGAGAGAGAAAGAGAGAGAGAGAGAGACCCCAAAGGAUUCUAGAUGUGAGUGGAGGCACCAUUUCUGAUUUGGGAAUACCUAAAACUCAACAGUGGUACGAAGAAGAAGCUUCUGCUGAGGACCUGAAUGGGCCAGGGAGCUUCGACCAAGACACGGGAGGGGGCUGAGAAGGUUUCCACCUGCAGCAUGCCUGAUGGGGAAGGCCAGAGGGAGGAGAGUGAGGACGAAGACCCUCGGCCUCCCACCCACACUCCCUUUUCUUCACUGGUGCCUUCAGAUCGGGGGCGGGUGGGGGUUGUGGUCAGGAUAAUGAUCAGGAUGUACUACUUGUCUAGAGGAACCAGAUUUUUUUACUUUUUAUUUUUUUUGAGAGCCACGUGGAAGUCAAGAAGUGGACUUGAUCUUAAGGGAGGAACAGAGAUCCUGGGUCAACCCAAGCCUCUUAGAGAAAGCGCGUGGUGGACAUUCGCCCUGGGAGCCGGGGGAUGAGGCUGUUUGUUCUUCUCCGGGGCACUGUGGAGUGUGGCUCUUGACCUCUUUGGGCCUCAGACCUCUUCAGGAUCCGGCAGAAGCUGUCUCCCUCUGCCCUGCCGGCCGCACACAUGCACAGGACAGCGUUUACGCGGCAGCCCCUCAGAAGCCCAGCUGGGCCCUGCGUUAGGAAGGAGUCCUUCAGGAAGGGGACAGCCCUGAGCCCAGGAUCCCUGGUAUCUGGGCUAAUGAGGGAUGUUAAUGACACGGAGGGUCCAGAAUGAGGAAAAUCGAAACCAGAUUUCUAUCGCGUGAGCUAAAAAGAAGCACGACACAUGUCCCGCGUUGCAAUCUUGUAAAAAAGAUACACCGGUGAAGAGAGAACGGUGAAGGCCGUGUGGAGAAAUGAAAACGAUUUGCAGAAAAUGUUUGCUGAUCCCUGGUCUAGAAGCCCGGCUCUGCACCUUGCUCUCCUCGUCUGUGUAAUGUGGAAUCCGAGUUAAGUACCGCGAAAGUUCCUUCCUGGCGUGUGGUGGAGUCAUUCUGCAUUCCAUGGUUCUCGCUCUGCCCUUGAGGGCCCGCGUUGCACACAUCUUUGUGUCACCAGCAGCCCCGUGAUGCCUGCACCGAGCAGGUGCUCAGGCAGCAUCAGCUGACUGGUGUUAAUGGUGGCAGGAGAGGGAGCUCAGAGCCCGGCCCUGUUGCCGCACGGCUGUGUGAGCUUAGGCAGCACUUUGAGUCUCUGAGCCUCAGUUUCCUCACUUGAAAAAUGGGCAUAAUGACUUAGCACCGACUUGCUAGGGUUGCGAUGAGAAUGAAGGAGAUAAGUACCCGGGGAGGUGCCUUGGGAAGUCUUCGGUGCUGUCCAAAUGCUAGCAGCUACGGUCACUGCUGUUCCUGGGCAUGUCACACAUACUCGGCUUUGUUGCCUAGUUCCAUUUGGCGUGCUUUAACUCAUAGGAUGGUUUCCCUAAGGAUGGUUGGGUUCUUGAGGGUCAAGGUGAUUCUAAAGCUGCCCAUCAGAAAGGUCCCAGGUGAGUGGUCUCAGUGAUGGGACGUGUGUGGCCCUGGGGCACCCCCUGCCUGAUCACUGCUUGCCCCUUGAGUUGUGAGGGCAGAGAUGGACGGGGAAGGGAUAGUUUAUUAAGACUUGGGGAGGGUGGGCCCCGCGAGUCUUGGUCCCUGACCAUUCCCAGGGCGGGGGAGGGAGCCAGACCUGCACAGUGGGCUCAGUCCUGCCCCCACAGCCACCUCUGUUCAUUGAGACAGAGGACUGGGCUCUCCCGCCCAGGCUGCCUGCCCCCUGCCCGGCGGAUCAUCCUGCCACAGGAUGUAGCUUCAUCUCUUGAUAACCUUGACCGGCCUUUGUUUAGCAUUUUCUUUUCAAUGAGCUCUCUCACAGACAUCAUUUUGUCUUCCAUAAGAAUCCCAUGUGGUAGGGAUUCUAUCUACCCCCCUUAGAAAUGAAGAUGCUGAGGUUCAGGGAGGUUAAGAGACUUGCCCACAGUGAGUGUCCCAGCUGGGAUGGGAUCUGCAUCCCUUAAUGCCAGGGCUCUUUCUAUCACACCGAGUUGCCUCUCUUCACCUGCCUCAGUUGUACCAAUGAACCUGUCUUCUCCCAGUCCCUCUCCCACUCCUGCGUGGCUUUGUCCCCCAGGCCUGGGAGAGUCCCCUUCACCCCCACGCUGGUAUAGAGGCUGGCCCUCUCCUACAAUGGAAACCUAGUGUGACAGCAGGGGUUCUGGAACUCUCCUCGCCUGGUCCUGACCCCUGGGUCCGGGGAGGGGGGGUAGAGAUGGCUUAGGGAAAGUGCACACUGGGGGUGCCAGGGAAGACAUGUCAGAUUCAGUUACCAUGACGUGGAAUAUUUAUGCUGCCAUGGGGCCCUGGGUGUCAUACUGCAUUAAGUGGGCACUCAGUGCCCACUCCCUCCAGCCACGAGAUCAGCUGCCUGCCCCUCUCUCCCUCCUUCCUGCUGGAUGCCAUAGUCGGUGGCAUUCCUGACCCCUGGGGAUACAGUCAGGGCCUCCUGGGUGCCCAGCCUUUGGGAGGCGCCACUUCCUAGGGACUGAGGGUUUGACUGAAGGAAGGAAGAUUUGACCCCUUAACACAUCAUUCUGGUGUCUCCAGGGGGGCAGGCUCCUAUUUCACGGUUUGGUGGGGAGAGUUUAGGUUCCGAGGACCCAUCAGACCCUCUCUGUAAGCUCAGCGCAGAGGCGAUGCCCAACGAAGCCUGGAUACAAGGGGAAGGUGGAUACAAGCCGGGAUGUCACGGGGAAGAAACUCAGACCUUGCCUCCCGAAAGGAGAAGACCCUGUUAGUCCUGUAGGGACACCCAGCAGGCCCCCGCCAUCAAUGUGGUUUCCCUUCUGCUUUGCUCAACUUCAGCUUUGUCUCUGCAACUCCCCCCCGCUUUCCUCUGUACAGCCUGAGGUUGAAGGGCAGGGCUGGGAAGCAGAGGGAGAGCAGACAGGGCACGUAACCACACCCCUGAGGAAGAAAGCGGUUCGGGGGGUGGGUACAAGGCUCUGUGGGGUACCCAGAAUAAGGAGCGAAGGGGCAAGGGGUAGAGAGCGUGAGCCUGGUGCAAGCCGAGCCCCAGGGUGCAGGGUGCAUCCUCCCCUUCCCCCCAGGCCUUCCUAGCUACCCCCUCGGGGUCUGGCCUGAGCUGCCCUCUCCAGGUCCGUUACCCAAGACCUUGUCACUGUUUAUCCAGACUCGAGGCCACUCUACAGCCUUAACCGGCCGCCAUUGCAUCCACCAGGCUAAUGCUGACCGUUAUCGCCUUCCUACCCUCGAUCCUGCAGUAACUUCCCAUCGCUGACAGCACCACAUCUAACUUUUGAGCCUGGCGCCUGUGGUCCAUCCAUGGUUUAGCCCUGCUUUGCCCUGCAGCCUGCUUCUCCCUACUCCAUACUCCAAGGCUGUCCUCUGGCCCUGGGAACGCGUACAGCCCCAGACACAGCGUGCUCGCUCCCAUCUUGAACGCUGGGACGCGCUGACACUCUGCCAGGUGGGACCGUGACCCGACUUCAUCCUCUAGAGAGAUGCUCCCCACCCUUCGUGUCUCCUCUCAAGAUCCACCUCCACCGUGAGGCUUCCCUUGGCCUCUCCUUCCACGGAAAUGCCACCCAGUGAGGCACACAUCUCCGUUGGAACGACUAUCUACUUUUACUUUGGUUAUUCACGGAUGUUUCUCCCUGACUCUUGACAGGGAGUAACUGAGGGUUGAGACAGUGUCUGAAUCACCUUGGGGCCCUCGGCAAUCGCUCUGCGUUUGACCUACGUUGCCGAUGUGUAGUAAACGGAAAACGCCCCAAAAAACGUUUGGAAAAUGCUUAGAUUAGUAAACUAAUCCGUGCCACGAGGAGUCCUCCCCGCUCCCUGUUCCUUUAGCAAUGUCCCUCACGCCUCCCCGUGGGACAGGGCGAGACGGGGCUCCGAGCCCAUCGUGUUCUGUCCAAAUUUCUUGCAUGCGAAGCCGAAUCCGGCUUCAGAGCCCAACACGCUAAGCCCAUCCGAUGAGCUGCAUGUAUUGUGGCAAAUGUCAGGCUCGGCCAGCUCCAAACUAGGUCAGGCCCGGCUGCCAGCCACCAGGAGUCGGCCAGCACUGACUGCCCAGUGGUCUGGCCAUGUGGUUGCAGCUUCUGGGCAGAGCGAGCAGGCGGGGAUGCUGCUGAAAUAGGAGGGUGGUAGCUGGGGGCGCCCUUGACCUGGGGUGGAGGAGAGGAUCCGACACUGAGGCCAAGGCAGAUUGAAAUGUUUCCCUUGCUCCGCAUUCAUGAUUUAAUUAGUGAAUUCGCCAUUCAUUCCUUCACUUAUUUACUCAACAUACGUUUACUGUACCUGUCUGGUGCCAAGGUGUAACCAACCACAGUAAGGUGAGCUGGAGAGACACCGAGGUUUGUCCUGGACACACUGGGCUGCCCAGGGGAGGGGCUGUGGAGAUCCGAGAGCCACCAUGUCCCGAGGGCCAACUGCUUGCACGGAUGCAGGAGCCGGCCUUGACCUCACACCCGGCCCGUGAGCAUGCACUCUCCACCCCCGCCCCCUGCCUGGGUGGCCACUGCCCCGACCUGAGCCCGCUUUUGCCUUUCACCAUGAAAUAGGAUGUCCGCUGCAUUAUUGUGAUUAUGCAUUUUUGUAGGUUCCCUUCACCGGUUUGAGGAAGUUCCUUCCUUUUCUCUGGUUUGCGGAGAGUUUUUAUCAAGAAUGGAUGUUGGAUUUGUGUCCAAUGCCUUUUCUGCGUCUUUUGAGAGGAGCAUCAUGGCUUUUCUUUUGGAGUCUAUUAACACACUCUUCUGUUCCAGGUUGAGCUGCCCGCUGGUUCCGGAGAAAGGACAAGAAAGCCCAGGGCUGCCCGGAAGCAGAGGCUGAGACUGAGCCUGGGGUCCCACCUUCCCUCCCUGGGGCCCUGCAAAGACUCCAGGCCUCCUGCAGGACCCUGGAUCUGAGGCUCCCACACAGACUCCAGAAUGGCCUUCCCUUCCACGUCUGAGUUCCCUUCUGCGUGGGGUCCCAGGUCUUCCUCCACCCCAUGGGCCAGAACCUUUUAUCUGGGAGCCCAGGGCUCUUUUCCCGGCCUUGCCUUGAGGGAGGUGUCUGAGUCCCGGAAGCUCACCUGCCGUCAUAGCUUUUGUCCACUUGCUUCUGAGGCACCACGCCUCGCUCUCCUGAGCGGCCAGUGCCGUGAUGAGUGUCGAGGACCAUGAUCCUCUUCACCUCUGUGUGCCUCUCUAAAAUCAAAGCCAGUCCUCUAACCAACCAACCCGGCCUCUGCUAAACAGACCAUAGCAGAGCCCUCCCACGUUAUCGACGUGUAUUUCAACCCGGGGUCUUCUGAAGAUGAUGCCUCCGUUCGCUUUAAAGGUCUCGGGCUCAUGUCAUCCCCACGAUCAUCCCAGUGCCACGUCCCUAUUUUGCAGAUGUUGAAAUGGAGGCUCAGAGCAGGUCUGUAAACCUCCCCCAGGGCCCCGCAUGAUGAGGGGGCUGACUCCCAACCCAUCCACCUCCCUGUAUUGCACUUAAACUGCCCAGGGCUGCCCGAGUCUGCCUGUUCCAACAUCACAUUCGCACCCAGGGCCCCCUCCAGUGUGCACCGCACUGGCCGCUUCCUGAAACUGUCCCGUCUUCCCAGGCAGCCACGCCCAUCCUGUCCCCUCUCCAUCUCUCCCCUCCAUCCCCUUCUCCCAAGAUUUGGUCUGCUGAGCCGCUGCAUCCCUCCAUCCGUUCUGUUCAUCCUCACUUUGGCUCGAGGGCCUGACCUAAUUUACGGGUGGCUGGUUAGGGGAGGUUGUGUCUGUGUGUGUGUGUGUGUGUGUGCACAUGUGUGCAUUUGCAUGCGUACACGUGUGCAUAUCUGGGGGACUGCAAAACAGAGGGAGAGUCUAGUGGGGGGGUAAAGAGUACCAGGCCGGGGGAGCCGAGCUGGGGAACUUCAGCUGGGCUCUGCAGAUUGCUGGCCAAGUAUAUGACCGGCAAUAGGUACUUAAUAAAUGCCCACCAAAGGGAUGCAUGUGUCCCCAGCGCGGACUCUGGAGGGCAGUAUCCAGAGCAGGGCUGCAGUGAGGCUUUCUCCUCCCAGGGCAAAGUGUCUGUCAUCUGUCCGUGGCUGCCCUCUGUGGCCUGGGUGUGUGGGGAGGGACCUCGAGCUCCCCCGUUCAUUGUCCAGUGUGUAGAUUCCAUCCUGGACGUAGAAGCCCCCUCCCCUUGCCCCUGCCCCCUGCUACGGAAGCCGUGGUGGAAACGAGCAAGCGGGACCUUGGGGACAAGUCCAGCGCUGACCGGCGCUUGUCAAUGCUAGGGGACCUCGGGCAAGUUGCCUAACCUCUCUGAGCCUCACUUCCCCUUUAGUGAAUGGAGGCUCCUCCUCUCUGCUGUGAUGGUCUCUGGGAGUUAAGUGGAUGCAAGGAGACUGCAGGGGCGUUCUCACAUGAGGACUUUCUCUCGUCUAUACAAUAGGGAUAUUUGGCUCUGUGUCACAGGGCCAGUGUGCAGGUUCCUCAAGAUGGCUCGUGUAGAGCUCUUUGCACACUGCAUGGCAUGUAGCAGGGGGUCGACAAAAGCAGCUACUUCUAGGAAGUAAGCGGCCAGCUCUCCCCCAGGCGGGUCAACCCCCAGCUUACUUCUUCCCCUGGCAAUGCAAUGCAGAUGCCGGCAGCCAAGCCCAGGAACUCUCUGGGUGUUCCAUCUUCCAGGGUUUUUUUUUGUUUUUGUUUUUGUCCCAGGCAAACCAACCACUGAUGAACUUCCUGCCUCUGGGACAAAGUGGUCCCCAGCAUGACUGUCUGGGGGUCCUGGUGGGGCUGUGUUCCUGGGCUGGAAGAGGGACUGUAUGACCUUUGGCUCUGGGGGUUUAAACUCAGCCCUGGUCUCCACCUGCCCUUUGGCGUGGGCAAGAGGAGGCAGGGUUCUGGGCCCAAGAGGCCUGGUGGGAAACACAUAGCUCGCUUGGCUGCUGGUUGGGAAGGGAGGAAAGCUCAGGGAGCAGGGGCUUGGCCUGGGGGAGCCCCAUCUUAUUCUCACCCUGGCGGCAAGAGCUGGAGCCCAGGCUGGAGGGCAGGCUGUGGGUCAGGACACCCGAGCUCCGUCCCUGACCUUUCCGGUAAUCCGUGGGCACGGUGUGAGGUCAGUCUGGGCAUGGGCUUCCCCGCUUGUGGACUGGGGUGCCCCACAGCACUCUUUCCAGCAUCAUCAAGGGGCUGAUAAGAUACCGGAGGCGGCAGACCCCUCUGUGAACGGCAGGUGCCGCCUUGCGUGUCCUCUGGGCAGGCUUCUAUCCCUCUCCCUGCCACCGUCCCUCCUCCAUCCUGUCCGGACAGCAGCCGGUGGCCCAUGGGCAGAGCCUCUCCCCAAGCUCCCCGUGGCCUGGCCGUGGCCUCACUAGAGAGCACAUUUCUGCUCCAUUAGCCGGCCAUGAAAUGUGUUCAGAGUUUCCUGACGGGCACAGAAGCUGCCGCCACAUAAAACAGGCAGAAAAUGAAACACUCAUCUUCCUCCCGGAGCUGGUAUAGGCGGGUCAGUUCUGUAUGAUCAGCCCUCAGACCGUGGGCUGGAAAGACGCAAGAUCCCAGCUCUGCUCACCACCCUGAAGAAACAACCUGCUUGUGGCAAAAAAAAAAAAAAAAAAAGGAAAGUUGAAAUACAAUCACAGUUUAGUUCAAGUUGGAUAUUAAUAGCUUCAGGGGCAGGGCUCAGAAAGAAAGAGGGGAGGGCAAGGAGAAGGGGAGAGGGAGCUGUGAACACCAUCAACAUCCAAUUUCCUUGGAGAAUCAGGAACCUGCAAGGCUCUGGUCUGGGGUGGGGGAGGAUGGGGUGCUGCUGCCUGGGCACCGUGGGGGCCCCCAGCCUCUGGCCCGCCGCCUCACCGGCCCGGACGCCUGUCUCCAGCUCCAGCUGCCCCCUUUCCAUGCCUCGGUGCGCAGUGCUCUCUGGCCGGUCCAUACAUGCCCGGGGCUGUGGGCUCUCACAUCUGUCGGAGAUGGGGCCGGGGCCACACCUGUGGGGAUGCUGCUGUGACUUACCCAUCCCUGGCUGCGUGAGCGUGGGCUGCUGACGGCUCAUAGCUGCCCCUUCUGCAGAGACCUGCCCUCUGGGCCGUGGGUUACCUCUAGCGGCUCCUCAGGGCACCCACCAGCCAGCCAAUGACGGGCUGACGCAGGGAACAGUGGGCUGAGCGCCUUGCUGGGAGUGGAGGUAAUAUUCUUGGCUGAUUGAUGUUCCAGGGUGACCCAUGCAGUGACUUGCCCUGAGACCCUCAUGCCCUUCCCUCUGUUGCUUCUCUUACUUUUUUACGUGUUUUGGCUGAAGGGGACUCCCUCAAGAAAUCAUGAAUCCCGAACCCUUGCCUCAGGCUCUGCUGUUGAGAAACCCACGCUUAAGAGCAGCUGGGUGGCCUGGAGCAGGUCAUCGGACAAUCUGAGCCUCAGCGCCCUCAACCAAUCCCUCGGGAGGUGUUGCAGGCCCAGCCAUGGAACCUAAGAGGGUAGAAGGAAGUUUUUCCUCCUCUGCAUCAUAUCCAUCACGCCCCAAAGUUUCUUCCCGCCCAUUGGGAAUCCCUCCUUCCUGCUUCUCCCCUCUUUAAAGCCUGUGGUUCUAAACUCACCUUGUAUGAAUCAUUCUGCAACUUGCUUUUUUUCACUCAGCAACAUGUCUUGGAUGUCUUUCUGUGUCGACAUGUCCAGAUCUCCACGAUGCUUUUAAACGGCUGCGCUGGAUUAUAUGCUAUAUAUGACACAUGUCAUAAGCUGUCAAAGUACAGCCUGUCUAGUCAUUGGAUUGGUUCGUCAUGGAUUUUUAAGUCGGCCGUAAUACUUUGUUUUGCUUCCACGAUUUUUAUUCAUACCGUGUCUGUAUCAUACUCUAUUUUUAUUCCUACUGGAUUCAAAGUCUACAAAGUACUCACCGAGUAGUGCUGCCCUGAAAAUUGAGGCAUCCCAAAGGGGCGCUGCUGUCCCAACCCCCCUGAGAAGUAGAUGAGGUUAGACCUGGGGUCUGGAAGGCACUGGGCUCGUCCCGGGUUCAGGAUAAGCGAAAGCGCUCAGGCAGGGUCUGGUGACCGGCCCGGGCUCGUACACGGCAGACCCCCCAGGCCUGCUCCUGGGGCUGCCCUGUUCUCUCCCUGCUUCACCUGCCUUCAGAGCUGGACUCUGACACAGGCCACCGUGCGGGUGUCUGUGGGGGUCUGCUCCCUUCCCACCCCUGAUGCCCGGGGGUCUCCCCUGCUCUCCCCCUACACCUGGGCUCUAGAGCCCUCCCUCCUCUGAACGUCCAUUUGUCGAAAAUCCUCUGCCUUCCAGGAUGGCCUUGCGGGACAGGUGCGAACACAUUUCGAACCUAGAGAAGCUCCACAGCCGUUAAAUCACAUGUUGGGUAAAAUAAUCAAAGAAUCUCCCCCAAAUUUGUCAACGGCGGCGCUGGGCCUAGCGGUUCCGUAAUGACUCCCACUUGAUGACAGAUCUCGAGAAAAUGCGUUUUGGAAGCAAUCAGUAUAUGCUGAAUAGAAUCCUAUUUUACAAGCGUUUUAUCUACUCUUAAGGACAUGGGAGAUGAGGAAAACAGAUAAGCCUCUCUAUUAAUAUUGAUUAGACCAUUAUAUAUCUGAAAAAGAGAUUUUAGUCAGAGAUGAUUGCACCUUACCAGUACAGCCUCCCUUCUUGAAUGGAGUCAUUUAAUCUGCCGCUCAGCGCUGGGGGGUGUGGGGAGGGAGGGGCACGCAGGCUUUGCUCCCUCACGCUGGGCACAGGAGGCAGGACAGGGACGCUGGUGAGAGGACCGCCAGGGCAGUUGCACACUUUCUUACCAAUCCCACAAGGGCCCGAUAAGAGGAAGAUAAAAACAGCAGCGGCAGGAAGGAUCGAGGUCAGCCUUCAGCAACAACGGUUCCGUUUUUUGUUUUUUUUGCUCUAGAAGAGUCCAGAAGUUGGAGCUAGAACACCUUCUUUUCCUGAAUAGCUUUAAGAAUAAAGACAAUCAGGGGUGCCUGGGUGGUGCAGUCGGUUAAGCGUCCGACUUCAGCCAGGUCACGAUCUCGCGGUCCGGGAGUUCGAGCCC